rnacentral:rRNA from 1 species
GAUGAACGCUGGCGGCGUGCCUAAUACAUGCAAGUCGAGCGAACGGACGAGAAGCUUGCUUCUCUGAUGUUAGCGGCGGACGGGUGAGUAACACGUGGAUAACCUACCUAUAAGACUGGGAUAACUUCGGGAAACCGUAGCUAAUACCGGAUAAUAUUUUGAACCGCAUGGUUCAAAAGUGAAAGACGGUCUUGCUGUCACUUAUAGAUGGAUCCGCGCUGCAUUAGCUAGUUGGUAAGGUAACGGCUUACCAAGGCAGCGAUGCAUAGCCGACCUGAGAGGGUGAUCGGCCACACUGGAACUGAGACACGGUCCAGACUCCUACGGGAGGCAGCAGUAGGGAAUCUUCCGCAAUGGGCGAAAGCCUGACGGAGCAACGCCGCGUGAGUGAUGAAGGUCUUCGGAUCGUAAAACUCUGUUAUUAGGGAAGAACAUAUGUGUAAGUAACUGUGCACAUCUUGACGGUACCUAAUCAGAAAGCCACGGCUAACUACGUG